AUGGGCCGCAACAAGAAGAAGAAGCGAGAUAGUGACGAGCGGUGGCCCAGGCUAGUUCUCAGCUUCGACAAGUAGAAGAGGCGGGAGUACCCGACAGGCUUCCACAAGCGGAAGGUCGAGCGGAAGAAGGCGGCCAUUGAGGAGAUUAAGCAAUGGCUGAAAGAGGAGCAGAGGAGGCUUCAGGAGGAGCGCCACCAGGAAUACUUGAAGAUGCUGGCAGAGAGAGAAGAGGCACUGGAGGAGGCCGAUGAGCUGGACCGGCUGGUGACAGCAAAGGCGGAGUCGGUGCGGCACGACCACCCCAACCACACAGUCACCGUGACCACCAUCAGUGACCUGGACCUCUCGGGGGCUCAGCUGGUUGGGCUGACCCCACCUGAGGGAGGGGCUGGAGACAGGUCUGAGAAGGAGGCAUCAUCCAUGGAGAAGCCCACCAAAGCCUUGCCCAGGAAGUCCAGAGACCCCCUGCUCUCUCAGCGGAUCUCCUCCCUCACAGCAGCACUGCACGCACACAGCCGCAAAAAGGUCAAGAGGAAACAUUCCCACAGGGCCCAGGAUUCCAAGAAGCCCCCAGGGGCCUCUCGCACCAGCAGGGCCAAGCGUCGCCGUCUGACAGACAAAGCACAGCACAGCACAGCAGGGAGUGAGGCUGAGAAGCCGUGCCCCAGUCUAGGCUGCGGGGACCUGGUCUUUGUCAUCUUGGCUGUCCCUGUAGCCCAGCCUGCACCAAGGUGAUGACUGCACAGCUCAAAGUUGGGAAGCCAGGACCUCUCUGGCCUGGGGCUGGCUGCCUUUGCCUGG